rnacentral:rRNA from 1 species
GACGAACGCUGGCGGCGUGCUUAACACAUGCCAGUCGAACGGAAAGGCCCUUCUUUUGUGGGGUGCUCGAGUGGCGACCGGGUGAGUAACACUUGAGUAACCUGCCCUUUACUUUGGGAUACCUUCAGGAAACUGGGGCUAAUACCGGAUAGGAGCUCCUGCUGCAUGGUGGGGGUUGGAAAGUUUCGGCGGUUGGGUAUGUACUCGCGGCUUAUCAGCUUGUUGGUGGGGUAGUGGCUUACCAAGGCUUUGACGGGUAGCCGGCCUGAGAGGGUGACCGGACAAAUGGGGACUGAGAGAAGGACCAGACUACGAAGGGAGGCAGCAGUGGGGAAGAUUGCACAAUGGGCGGAAGCCUGAUGCAGCAAAGCAGCGGGCGGGAUGACGGCCUUCGGGUUGUAAAACGAGGUCGCCUGUGACGAAGCGUGAGUGACGGUAAUGGGUAAAGAAGCACCGGCUAACUACGUG